GAUGAAUGCUGGCGGCGUGCCUAACACAUGCAAGUCGAGCGGUAAGGCCCUUCGGGGGUACACGAGCGGCGGACGGCUGAGUAACGCGUGGGAACAUGCCCCAAAGUGAGGGAUAAGCUCCAGAAAUGGAGUCUAAUACCGCAUAUGAUCUUCGGAUUAAAGGAUUUAUCCGCUUUGGGAGUGGCCUGCGUACGAUUAGAUAGUUGGUGAGGUAAUGGCUUACCAAGUCUACGAUCGUUAACUGGUCUGAGAGGAUGAUCAGUCAGACUGGAACUGAGACACGGUCCAGACUCCUACGGGAGGCAGCAGUGAGGAAUCUUCCACAAUGGGCGAAAGCCUGAUGGAGCAACGCCGCGUGCAGGAUGAAGGCCUUCGGGUCGUAAACUGCUUUAUAAGUGAAGAAUAUGACGGUAACUUAUGAAUAAGCACCGGCUAACUACGU
rnacentral:rRNA from 1 species